GAUAUUCUUGGUGUGGGGUGGGAAGGGCACCCUCUCCUGCCCUGCUCAUGUCAGCCUGACUACCUACAGUAACAAACUGAGCUAAGGCCAUUUUUAGCUGCAGCCUUUUAUGAUUGCUUUUCCAACCCCCAAAAUCAGCAUCCAUGACUACAUAAACUUUUUGGCCCUUUGGCCAGAUGGGGACAUCUGGCAUACUGCUGUCAGCACCAACCAACAUGUAAGUAAUCAAGGAAACCAAAGCCACUGAAGUAGCAGGAGUGUCCAGGGGACGGUGAGAGGGUGGUUGUGGCCUACAGACUGCUUCCAUGAUCUCAUGUGUUAUCUCUUUUUUAUACUUUCAUAUUUUCACAAUUAUUUGAUUUUUGGGUUUUAUAUUAUUUGACAUUCUUCUUCCAACCCUGACCCCUUUCUUUCCUUUACAGUGUUUGAGCUUUAGUGUUCUUGCAAAAGAAUUUUCAGAAGUUGGAGUCUGAAAUAAAUGUAUUAAUAACUUAACUCUUGCUAACUGAAAUAUGUUCCCAGCCAACUUAAUUCAUCAGCUCACACUGGGCAAAGCCUCUGGAGCAUGAGGUGGGAAGAGUUCUGCAGGAGUUCCUGGCACUGGAGUCCUAGGGAUAGGACGCUUACACAUGUCAUCUCAGCACAUGGACCUUGGCGUGACCAACCAGCAGAACACACCUUCAGAAUCAGGUACUUCUUAAGUUGUAGUAGCCAAAGAGAUUAUUGGCUGAUGGUUAUCAAAGCUUGCUUGGAAGACUUUUCUAAGGCAGGGCUGUCAGGGAAGACAGAUCAAGAGCUCACACAAGGGACUGCAGCUUUGGCCUCACUCCUGUGUCAUUCAAAGAGAUCUGCCAGAUGCUUAGAGCGUGCUUGGAGGAAAAGGAUAAAGAAGCCCAGACAGUUUAAUAGUAAAAGACCCCUGUACACCCUGAUUGUAAGCAAAAGACUAUAG
rnacentral:lncRNA from 13 species